CUUUUUUAUUGUCUUAUUUUAAUUCUUUAACAUUUGUUAUUAUUUUAUAAAGUUCCUAAAGAUCAUCUUAGUACUCUCAACCCGUAACCGCAAAUAGAAUAGCAGCAAUCUUAAGCAUGGACUUAAGUCAACUGAAUCAAACCUGUCUUGCAGAAGGUGAUUUUGAGCAGCCGAUUGUCAAACUGCAUGAAUUGCCGAUAGGCGUUCCGUUUAAAAUUACUAGAGCCAAAAUUGUUAAUACAAAAUUUGGCAAUUCCGUGUUGCUGCAAUUAGAAAAUUCCGUAGUAUUUCUUCCUACUCGCGUGACAGAAGCUUUCCGUCCGAGACUAGAACACUUUGCGUCGGGGCAGUACAAACUGGUCUACGAGGGAUCCAAAGAUAUUGGAAAGCCCAACUCUUUAAAGAAAUUCAAAAUAAUUCAAAAUUAAUCAACAUAUUAUACAGGAUUAUGGUCAAACAACUUACAUUAGAAAGCCUUUGUAUUAUAACAAUUUGCGAAAAUAUUAGGUGUAGUGCUGAUUUUUUGCUUGAGUCACCUUUGCCUUGGAAACUAACGAUACUAAUAUUUAAAUAUUAUUCGAAAUAUAGAUGGAGGUACCUUAAACAACUAGCGCUCCAGUCUGAUGGCAAUUCUUUAUUAAAUUUAGAAUUCAUUCUGUUGAAUAAGAGAUUUGGAUCGUCUUACAGAAAUAGCAUUUUGGCAACUCCAACCAUUGAUUUUGACGGAGAAUCCGCUUACUGUUUAUGGGUCAGUUAUUACAGGAUAAAAUAUUCGGAAAUUUUAGUUUGUAAAUCUUGUCACUUUAUAUUUCAAGUAGUUAAAAAAUUUAAAAAGAAAAAUUUUAGACUUUUAUUGGAUCACUAUCAUUUACAGCUGGAUAUAAAUAAUUUGAAUGAUGUAUAUCACGAUAAACAAUUUUGGUGUCAAAGCUGCUUUGAAGAAGUUUUGUUCACUGUAGAAACUGAAGAUGAAUGUAAUUUAAUGCUUCACGAUGAGAGAAAAUAUGGAAAAAAGUUACGCUUUUCUGAUAGCACAUUGAACUAUUAAUACUGUGGUUUUAUUAUAACAUAUGUAACUGUAGAUAAGGCUUUUAUGUAUUGAUUGUAUGCCAUUGUAUUGCAACAAGAAUAAACAUGUAUAUAUUUAGACGCUAUUUUCUUUUUUACCACCACCACAACACCGCAUAAUAAUUACACAGAAGUUUGUAAUUGUAUAAUUUAUUUAUUAUAUACAUUAUUACUAUUUUACAAUUUCGUUAAAUGCUAAAUUAUUAAAUUGUUCUA